GCGGUGGUGCAGGCAAGGGUUACUUCGAUUGUUAAUCGAGAGGUCGCGGGUUCGAAUCCCGCCUGGCA
rnacentral:tRNA from 1 species